UCCUCGGUAGUAUAUCGGCUAGUACACCCGCCUGUCAUAACUUGCGUUCGGUGCGCGGGAGAGCGGGGUUCGACUCCCCGCCGAGGAG
rnacentral:tRNA from 1 species